rnacentral:rRNA from 1 species
GAUCCUGGCUCAGGAUGAACGCUGGCGGCGUGCCUAAUACAUGCAAGUCGAGCGAACAGACAAGGAGCUUGCUCCUUUGACGUUAGCGGCGGACGGGUGAGUAACACGUGGGUAACCUACCUAUAAGACUGGGAUAACUUCGGGAAACCGGAGCUAAUACCGGAUAAUAUUUCGAACCGCAUGGUUCGAUAGUGAAAGAUGGUUUUGCUAUCACUUAUAGAUGGACCCGCGCCGUAUUAGCUAGUUGGUAAGGUAACGGCUUACCAAGGCGACGAUACGUAGCCGACCUGAGAGGGUGAUCGGCCACACUGGAACUGAGACACGGUCCAGACUCCUACGGGAGGCAGCAGUAGGGAAUCUUCCGCAAUGGGCGAAAGCCUGACGGAGCAACGCCGCGUGAGUGAUGAAGGUCUUCGGAUCGUAAAACUCUGUUAUUAGGGAAGAACAUACGUGUAAGUAACUAUUGCAC